rnacentral:rRNA from 1 species
CCCUUAGAUGUCCGGGGCCGCACGCGCGCUACAAUGGAUGAAUCAACGCGUCAUCCUGGCCCGAAAGGGUUGGGGAACCGCUGAACCUCAUCCGUGGUUGGGAUUGGGGUUUGUAAUUAUUCCCCAUGAACUAGGAAUUCCCAGUAAGCGCGAGUCAUAAGCUCGCGUUGAUUACAUCCCUGCCCUUUGUACACACCGCCCGUCGCUACUACCAAUUGGAUGGUUUAGUGAGAUCCUCGGAUUGGUCACGGCACGGUGGCAACACUGCGUCGGUGUGCCGAGAAGACGAUCAAACUUGAUCAUCUAGAGGAAGUAAAAGUCGUAACA